GACGAACGCUGGCGGCGUGCUUAACACAUGCAAGUCGAGCGGUAAGGCCCUUUCGGGGGUACACGAGCGGCUAACGGGUGAGUAACACGUGGGUGACCUGCCCUCAGCUCUGGGAUAAGCCUGGGAAACUGGGUCUAAUACUGGAUAUGACUCCACGGUGCAUGUCGUGGGGUGGAAAGCCUUGUGCGGCUGAGGAUGGGCCCGCGGCCUAUCAGCUUGUUGGUGGGGUGAUGGCCUACCAAGGCGACGACGGGUAGCCGGCCUGAGAGGGCGACCGGCCACACUGGGACUGAGACACGGCCCAGACUCCUACGGGAGGCAGCAGUGGGGAAUCUUGCGCAAUGGGCGAAAGCCUGACGCAGCGACGCCGCGUGAGGGAUGACGGCCUCGGUUGG
rnacentral:rRNA from 1 species